GCUUACGGCCACACCGCCUGGUAUACGCUUGAUCUCGGAAGAUAAGGUAGGUUGGGCCUGGUUAGUACUUGGAUGGGGAGACCGCCUGGGAAUACCAGGUGCUGUAAGCU
ensembl:rRNA 5S_rRNA 5S ribosomal RNA